rnacentral:tRNA from 1 species
GGAAAUGUGCCCGAACAUUAAGGGUUACUUUGAUAGAGUAAAACAUAGAGGUUAGAAUCCACUCAUUUCCU